UUUUUUUGUCAUUCUAUGGAGGAAGCGUGCCAAAAACAUCCGCUGCCCUUCCUAUCUGUUUUGUUGAUGCAAGAUCAACCCUGAAGUGAGUUCUUGCUUAUCUACCCUCUGGACUAGUGUGACAACCAUGGAUCCACCACCAUUUGUCACUAACCCUCCAGCUGUGCCUGAAAUAUUCUCCAACAUGUGCCACUUAACCUUCUGAUGAGAUUCUACACUGUGCCUAGAUGUUGUGGAGACCUUAGUGACUAGCCCAUCAACACUGCCCUCAGCUCUCCUGCUCAACUGUGCUUGGAUAUUUCCUAUGCAGACUCUGAUCAUAAUACUCACUGAUUAAUCUGAAAACUCCAGACAAAUGACUGUUAGUCAUUUAAGUCACUACCCUUAAAAGCUAAUUGCAAAAAAAACACAAAACAAAAAAACCCUUUCAUUCUGCAUUUAGUUUGUUAUCCAGUGUCAAGAGAAGGAUGAGAAUAAAUUUAGUGAAAUAUCGCAUA